rnacentral:rRNA from 1 species
ACACGUAUGAAAGUCAAGCUGAAAGACUUUACUCAAUGAUGUAAGUGGUGGUGCAUGGUCGUUCUUAGUUCGUGGAUUGAUUUGUCUGGUCUAUUCCGAUAACGAGCGAGACCCCAACGUUCCUAGUAGGGGCGCUUUGUAGCCAAACCGGCCCGCAAGGGUUGGUUAGCUACCGCCCAAAUUCAUCUUCUUAGACGUAUCAGAGCCGAAAAGGUUCUUGAAAUGGGUUAAUAACAGGUCAGUCAUGCCCUUAGAUGUUCUGGGCCGCACGCGCGUUACAAUGGCAUGAAAAACGAGUGCUUGCAUAAGGCGUCCCCUCGGCCGAAAGGUCGAGGUAACCCUUAGUCCUUGCUUUGACUGGGACAGAUCUUUGAAAUUAUUGGUCUCUAACGAGGAAUUUUUAGUAAUCGCAUGUCAUUAACCUGCGUUGA